AGAGUUUGAUCCUGGCUCAGAUUGAACGCUGGCGGCAUGCUUUACACAUGCAAGUCGAGCGGCAGCGCGGGGGCAACCCUGGCGGCGAGCGGCGAACGGGUGAGUAAUACAUCGGAACGUGUCCCGUAGUGGGGGAUAACCCGGCGAAAGCCGGACUAAUAUCGCAUAUGCUCUACGGAGGAAAGUGGGGGACCCGCAAGGGCCUCAUGCUAUGGGAGCGGCCGAUGUCCGAUUAGCUUGUUGGUGAGGUAACGGCUUACCAAGGCGACGAUCGGUAGCUGGUCUGAGAGGAUGAUCAGCCACACUGGGACUGAGACACGGCCCAGACUCCUACGGGAGGCAGCAGUGGGGAAUUUUGGACAAUGGGGGCAACCCUGAUCCAGCCAUGCCGCGUGCGGGAAGAAGGCCUUCGGGUUGUAAACCGCUUUUGUCCGGGAAGAAAAGGCAUCCCCUAAUACGGGGUGCUCUUGACGGUACUGGAAGAAUAAGCACCGGCUAACUACGUGCCAGCAGCCGCGGUAAUACGUAGGGUGCGAGCGUUAAUCGGAAUUACUGGGCGUAAAGCGUGCGCAGGCGGUUCGUGAUGUCUGAUGUGAAAGCCCCGG
rnacentral:rRNA from 1 species